rnacentral:rRNA from 1 species
GAUGAACGCUAGCUACAGGCUUAACACAUGCAAGUCGAGGGACCGGCGCACGGGUGAGUAACACGUAUCCAACCUGCCCUUUACUCGGGGAUAGCAUUUCGAAAGAAAGAUUAAUACCCGAUAUAAAGGAUGGGGAUGCGUUUCAUUAGGUUGUUGGUGAGGUAAAGGCUCAACAAGCCUUCGAUGGAUAGGGGUUCUGAGAGUAAGGGCGACCACAUUGGAACUGGUACACGUGUCAAACUCCUACAGGAGGCAGCAGGGAGGAAGAUUGGUAAAUGGGCGCUAGCCUGAACCAGUCAAGUAGCGUGAAGGAUGAAGGCUUAUGGGUCGUAAACUUCUUUUAUAUAAGAAUAUGUAUUAUAUGAAUAAGGUGCAGCUAACUCCGUGCCAGCAGCGGCGGUAAUAC